UGAUUCUUUCGUUCUCUGUCCAAAGGCCUUCCUCAGCAGGAAGCAAUGUCCUCCACACUCCAUAUCCAUACACUAAAGUGUCAUGAGGCCACGGCCCGUCACUGAAUGUGUCACAAAGGUGCAAUGUGGAGGCCGCACACCCAGCAGGGGGUAUGGAGGAGGAGAGUAAGCAAAUGAAAAUGCAUCCCAACCAAACCACUCCUCGCAUUUCACCUCAAAAUACCGACAGCGGAUUUGUUGCCUACGCCGCCGUCAUCCCUGUUGUCGUCCUCACACUGAUUGGAUUUUUGGCAGCCUUGGUAAGAACCUGUACCUAUCUUCUUCUUUGGUGGUCAAUCACAUGACUGCAUCGAUGUUUGCACACCCUCAGGUUCUUUAUAUCAAAAGGAGAAUGAGGUUAGACGAGCUCCGCCACAGACUGAUUCCGGUGUACAGUUACGACCCUGCAGAGGAAGUCCAUGCCUGGAAACAUGGUGCACCGGACGGCGAGGAAGAGUUGGCUGUAGGAAAUAUUUAGCAGCAAUGAUAACAUACUGUAUUUUUCAGACUAUAAAGCAGACUUAAAAUCCUUCCCUUUUCUUAUAAAUCGUCAAUACACUUUAUAACCCGGUGCGCCUAAUGUACGGAAUAAUUCUGGUUGUGCUUACCGACCUCGAAGCAAUUUUAUUUGGUACAUGGUGUAAUGAAAAGUGUGAACGGUAGAUGGCAGUCAGACAUAAGAGAUACAUGUAGACUGCAAAAUGACGCCAGUAAACACCACCAAAACAUCAUAUGUUCCACUGAAGAUAAAAAACAUUACACACGGCACUCAAAAAUCCGUCAAAAUCAGGGGUCUCAAACUCACUUCACCUGGGGGCCACUGGACGCAGAGUCUGGGCCCCAUGAUAAGAUUUCUUAAAAAUGUUUUAGCAUAUUCCUUAGCAUGUCUAGUUGUAUAAUGACGUUUCAAAUUGUAUCUCUUGUGCAAUGCAACUUUCUCUGUGCAAAUAAGAUAUAUUGACCUGUGUUCAACAAAGACAUAUUGCAUCUCCCACUUUUCCUGGAAUUAUCUUUGCUCAUCACUAACCCUUCUCUUCACUGAAGGCUUUGAAAAAGACAUGUUUGGGGUUGUGGAAUAUAUUUGUAUUUAGCCCACGCACAAAGAAUAAUGUUAUUUCUGCAAUGUGUGUCGUUUCGCUUUUCCUCUCUACAGCAACACGGCGGUCGACAGAUAAUAGUACCGGGAUAGCGAGCGCAAAAAAGUUAUUGGGACUGCUAUUACUGACGGACAGGUGUCGCGGUGUGACUGCAGCCAGGCACGAACUGCUGUGCAAGGAGGGAAUAUCCACUUAUAUCAGACCAAUGGUGUAAUGAGAAACAACAACUACAUGUUGAAGAGAAAAGAAGGUAAAAAUGUGUCCAUAAUAUUUAAGGCAUAUUCAUUACUAUAUGGCUGUCUAAUGUGCUCAAAAAUAUUGAGACGAGGGUGGAAAAAUACCAGGAGUAUUCAAAGUUAAGGAAAAUUGAUGGGAAUAUACAGUAUUUGGGGAAAUCAGUGCAAGUAUUAACCAGAAAUGUCAGGUUUGCCUGUAUAGUAAGCUGAAGGGCAAUGCUGAAAUUAAAAACUGUAUUAUCUACUGGGGUAUACGUGUAAUACACAUGCAGCAACGUUCUAGGCAAGUGUGUCCAAAACUUUUACCGGUACUAGGAAGGAUUGGGUCGGGCUGUGGGAACACAGACUGGAGCGAUUUCUGAUUUGAAUCGCAAAAUGGAUCUCAUCUUGGAGAAGCUUGCUGAGAAGGAAUAAUGAAAUUGGAAUUGGAGAAUCCAGCACGGACACACAGAGAAGGCAAAUCACUAUUUAGUCAUCUCGAGAAAAACAACAUCUUAAUCUACAAUUUGACUCUGUCGAAUGGCCUUGAGGCAAUCAGGAACAGGCUUGUUCUGAAGAACUCCCCCGAGGACUCCUCAAAGAUGGACGCUUUUGACCUUCCUUUUUUUCCAACAACACCUGGUGUCGAACUUGAGAUCGGCCCCAGUCCACAAAAACAUUCCACAUCUCACCCAAGUUAAUUGGGCAUACAUGCACGCACACGCCCCUCCCCAAAUCAACGCCUUCACCACCGCUUAAUUCCUCUGGGGUUGUGGAUGGCUGAGUAGCACUUUAUAGUAGCAACUCUGUUGCAAGUUGGUGUGAUUACAUGUACCAUGUUUAUGUGUGCCAUGCUAUGUGAGGUUUUUUCCUUGGACUCAGUCUGGACCCCUCCUGAGGGUCUAGCCUUAGACUGAUAUUUAUUUUACUCUUCCCCCUCUCCCAAUGUCACCUUUUUCUCACCUUUUUAAGGAGCGCCAUAAGCGGCUGAUCCGUUGGCGGUCCCGUCUUGUCCACCCCAUUAACGUAUGUCUGCUCUAGCGGGACUGUGCCGAAAAUGUCAUUUCAGUUCUUAUGUGUCUUGUACAUGGUCAGAAUGGACAAAAUAAAGCUGCUGCUGCUGUC